UGCGUCUGGGGUAGUCUGAGUUUUCACCCCCAACAGCCGCCCCCGCCCCCCGCACUGCUCCCCCCAAGUUCUGCGGCCGCGGCCUAUCCAACGCGGAGGGACCGUGGCUGGGAAAUGCAACUGCAGGGGUGAGAGAUCUGAACCGCUCUCGUUUUGGUGUUCACCGAGGCCCUCCUCGAAACCUGAAGGUUCACUUCAAAUAAACUUAACUUGGUCAUCUGAGAAGCACAAGAAAAAAGGAAGGGGUGUGAAACGAAGGGGAAUCUGUCAAAAGUAUUUCCUAUCGUGUGAACUACCUGCCCGUGUCUACUGCUUUGCAAGGAUUGGAUUCAGGAAAAUGCAGUGUUUCCCAGAUGUUAAAACCACUCAGUUUAUGAUUUUCAGAGAGCAAAACCGCCCAAGAAGUGACUAUUGACAAGUUUGUAUCGCAGGGAGCUACUGUUUUCCAGUCCUGAAAUAAAGAGGCCCAUGGAACAUCAUAA